rnacentral:rRNA from 1 species
AUUGAACGCUGGCGGCAGGCUAAACACAUGCAAGUCGAGCGAGCGGCGGGCGGGUGAGAAAUGUCUGGGACACUGCCUGAUGGAGGGGGAUAACUACUGGACACGGUAGCUAAUACCGCAUACCAUCAGAUGUGCCCAUAUGGGAUUAGCUUGUAGGUGGGGUAAUGGCUCACAUAGGCGACGAUCCCUAGCUGGUCUGAGAGGAUGACCAGCCACACUGGGACUGAGACACGGUCCAGACUCCUACGGGAGGCAGCAGUGGGGAAUAUUGCACAAUGGGCGCAAGCCUGAUGCAGCCAUGCCGCGUGUAUGAAGAAGGCCUUAGGGUUGUAAAGCACUUUCAGCGGGGAGGCGUUACUCGCAGAAGAAGCACCGGCUAACUCCGUGCCAGCAGCCGCGGUAAUUC